rnacentral:rRNA from 1 species
AUUGAACGCUGGCGGCAGGCUUAACACAUGCAAGUCGAACGAGUGGCGGACGGGUCAGUAAUGCUUGGGAAUCUAGCUUAUGGAGGGGGAUAACUACGGGAAACUGUCGCUAAUAACGCGUACCUUAGGUUGAGCCCAAGUGGGAUUAGGUAGUUGGUGAGGUAAAGUCUGACCAAGCCGACGAUCUCUAGCUGGUCUGAGAGGAUGACCAGCCACACUGGGACGGAGAACGGGCCCAGAUUCCUACGUGAGGCAGCAGUGGGGAAUGUUGGACAAUGGGCGCAAGCCGGAUGCAGCCAUGCCGCGUGUCUGAAGAAGACUUUCGGGUUGUAAAGGACUUUUGUCAGGGAAGCGGGACCUGAAGAAUAAGCACCGGCUAACUACGUGCCAGCAGCCGCGGUAAUUC